rnacentral:rRNA from 1 species
AGUGAACGCUGGCGGUAGACCUAACACAUGCAAGUCGAACGGCAGCACAGUAAGAGCUUGCUCUUACGGGUGGCGAGUGGCGGACGGGUGAGGAAUACAUCGGAAUCUACUUUUUCUUGGGGGAUAACGUGGGGACACUUACGCUAAUACCGCAUACGACCUACGGGUGGAAGCAGGGGAUCUUCGGACCUUGCGCGAUUGAAUGAGCCGAUGUCGGAUUAGCUAGUUGGCGGGGUAAAGGCCCACCAAGGCGACGAUCCGUAGCUGGUCUGAGAGGAUGAUCAGCCACACUGGAACUGAGACACGGUCCAGACUCCUACGGGAGGCAGCAGUGGGGAAUAUUGGACAAUGGGCGCAAGCCUGAUCCAGCCAUACCGCGUGGGUGAAGAAGGCCUUCGGGUUGUAAAGCCCUUUUGUUGGGAAAGAAAAGCAGCAGGUUAAUCCCCCGCUGUUCUGACGGUACCCAAAGAAUAAGCACCGGCUAACUUCGUG